GAAUAAGGGGAGGGCAAGUCGGGUGUCAGCCGCCGCGGUAAUACCCGCUCCCCGAGUGGUGGAGGCUAUUACUGGGCCUAAAGCGCCCGUAGCCGGCCCGGUGUGUCCCUCGUUAAAUCCACGGGCUUAACCCGUGGGCUGCGGGGGAUACUACCGGGCUUGGGGGUGGGAGAGGCGCCCGGUAUUCCCGGGGUAGGGGUAAAAUCCUCUGAUCCCGGGAGGACCAUCAGUGGCGAAGGCGGGGCGCCAGAACACGCCCGACGGUGAGGGGUGAAAGCUGGGGGAGCAAACGGGAUUAGAUACCCCCGUAGUCC
rnacentral:rRNA from 1 species